ensembl:processed_transcript RIKEN cDNA 2610307P16 gene
GAGAAAGGCUGUGAGCUUAGUGGAUCCUCCUACAGAAAUGACCAUUCCACACCAAGCUGAACCCAGGCAUUCCACUGCAGCUUCUACUUCGGUAGCAUAUGCAGUUUUCAGGGUGUGUCCCCGAGUCUCGUGAGUAGCACAUGGCAGUUGCUGUCACCUCGGGCUGAGCCGUGAAGAUUCUCACCCUCCCUUGUUGGCGAUGGACUCCGGGACUCUGAGGAGACGUCAGCAGGUAUUUCACAGACUCUUCCCGUUGGGGGAUCUGUCUGAUCCUCUUCUCCUGAGUAGACUGGGCUGUACAUUUCCCCAGGGGUGAAACAUGGAAGCCCUCUCCGGGAUGCAGCAGGUAGCUGAGGAGAAAACGAAGAAUGAACAGCCCAGAGCUCAGAGCUUCCUCCCAUGCUCAGGAAUUACCACCAGUGCCAUUACAUCG